CGUUGGAAGGGGCCGUUGCCCGUUGGAAGGGGCCGUUGACCACUGGAAGUGGCCGUUGAAAGUGGCCGUUGACCAUUGGAAGUGCCCGUUGGAAGUGGCCAUUGGAAGUGGCCGUUGGCUGUUGGAAGAGGCUGUUGACCAUUGGAAGUGGCCAUUAGAAGUGAUCGUUGGCCACUGGAAGUGGCCGUUGGCCGUUGGAAGCAGCCGUUGCGACGCCCGUGAGGCGUGAGGCUUUCCCCGGGCUUGAGGCGUGUGCCCGAACCCAGGCUGGGCAGAGCCGGUGUGACUCGACCGAUUGCGGCGCGGACGCAGAGCGCGUACAUGCGAGUCAGCGUGGCUGGUCGUGUAACUUCCAGGCACUCCGGGCUCAUGCAGUGUUAUGCUCUCAGAGGAGUCCUGUGGAGUGGAUUUCUGAAUGUCACAGUCUCAUGCCUCACCUGUGAGUCCUGCUUCAUUGGUUGGGAACCACUGUUCUGCACAUCAGAUGCCAUGAAAGUGAAGAAAAGAGAGGAAUCUUUUCAGAUUAUUACAUCUGAUUCAACAAAGUUCCAGAGAAAUGAUGACCAUUAA
rnacentral:lncRNA from 1 species